UCAUAGUUUUGCGGAAAUUAGUGCAUUAUUGUUUUGAAUUUUCGAGCUUUGUGAAUUCGAGCUUUUAUUGCGACAUAUACGACGUUGCCGGACCACGUGAAUACUGCAAAGUCAAAGUCGCGUCUUUUGUGGACUCUUCUGCUAACAUAAACAAGGAUACCAGACUGCAAAGACCAAUAUUAAAUUUGACAAUUAAAAUCCUAAUCCGAAAUCAAACCCGCAAAAUUAUGAUUUGCGUAAUUACUGGUGGUAGGACCUCUUAUGAGUCCGCAUGGGCAAUGCGAUGGGAACCCACAUCGAUUGCAGUUGGCGUCGACACGAACGAAACAAACAAAAACAGACAUCCAUGCAGAAGCAUUCGAAAUUGUAACCAAUCGAAACCACUUGAGUAAUGAUUCAAAAAGGCGAAAUCGUAUCCAUAUACAAGAAAUAGUGAAGAAUCGACUUACAAAAAAAGAACAACAACAACAAAAACUUCAACAACUUUAAAACGAAAUGCUUAACUUCGAUAUUAAAAGUUUCAUCUAAAUUUCAUAAAACAAAAUAUCAAUUUCAAUUAGGCAUUGUACAGCGUUCGCAAACUUUGGGCGA